rnacentral:rRNA from 1 species
AGAGAGGUCACACCCGUUCCCAUACCGAACACGGAAGUUAAGCUCUCUAGCGCCGAUGGUAGUUGGGACCUUGUCCCUGUGAGAGUAGGACGUCGCCAAGCA